rnacentral:rRNA from 1 species
CAGCAGCCGCGGGAAUACGAAGGGGGCAAGCGUUGCUCGGAAUGACUGGGCGUAAAGGGCGCGUAGGUGGUGUGGACAGUCAGAUGUGAAAUUCCUGGGCUCAACCUGGGGGCUGCAUUUGAUACGUCCAAACUAGAGUGUGGAAGAGGGUCGUGGAAUUCCCAGUGUAGAGGUGAAAUUCGUAGAUAUUGGGAAGAACACCGGUGGCGAAGGCGGCGACCUGGUCCAUUACUGACGCUGAGGCGCGAAAGCGUGGGGAGCAAACAGGAUUAGAUACCCCUGUAGUCCCUGUCUCUUAUAC